rnacentral:rRNA from 1 species
AUUCACAAGGGUGAUGGACUGCCUUUUGCAUAAUGAGCCUGCGAGUUGUGGUGUCUGGCAA